GACGAACGCUGGCGGCGUGCUUAACACAUGCAAGUCGAACGUGAUUUUUAAGGAAAGCCCUUCGGGGUGGGAAUUAAAAUGAAAGUGGCGAACGGGUGAGUAACACGUGAGCAACCUACCUUACACAGGGGGAUAGCCGUUGGAAACGACGAUUAAUACCGCAUGAGACCACAGAAUCGCAUGAUAUAGGGGUCAAAGAUUUAUCGGUGUAAGAAGGGCUCGCGUCUGAUUAGCUAGUUGGAAGGGUAAAGGCCUACCAAGGCGACGAUCAGUAGCCGGUCUGAGAGGAUGAACGGCCACAUUGGAACUGAGACACGGUCCAAACUCCUACGGGAGGCAGCAGUGGGGAAUAUUGCACAAUGGGGGGAACCCUGAUGCAGCGACGCCGCGUGAGCGAAGAAGGUUUUCGAAUCGUAAAGCUCUGUCCUANGAGAAGAUAANGACGNU
rnacentral:rRNA from 1 species